rnacentral:rRNA from 1 species
ACGAGAGUUUGAUCCUGGCUCAGGAUGAACGCUGGCGGGAUGCCUAAUACAUGCAAGUCGUGCGAGGAGUUUACUCCUAGCGGCGAACGGGUGAGUAACACGUACUUAACUUACCCUAAAGACUGGAAUAACUAGAAGAAAUUUUAGCUAAUACCGGAUAUGAUCACAGGAGGAGUCUCUUGUGGUUGAAAGGCGCGUUUGCGUCACUUUAGGAUAGAAGUGCGGUCCAUUAGCUAGUUGGUAAGAUAAAAGCUUACCAAGGCCAUUAUGGAUAGCCGAACUGAGAAGUUGAUCGGCCACACUGGGACUGAGACACGGCCCAGACUCCUACGGGAGGCAGCAGUAGGGAAUCUUCCACAAUGGGCGCAAGCCUGAUGGAGCAAUUCCGCGUGAGGGAUGACGGUUCUAGGACUGUAAACCUCUGUUGUAAGGGAAGAACACUUAGGGUAGGAAAUGCCCUUAAGCUGACAUUACCUUACCAGAAAGUGACGGCUAACUAUGUGCCAGCAGCCGCGGUAAUACAUAGGUCACAAGCGUUAUCCGGAUUUAUUGGGCGUAAAGCGUCCGCAGGUUGUUAGACAAGUCCAAGGUUAAAGCCCGAUGCUCAACAUCGGAUUGCCUUGGAAACUGUUUGACUAGAGUACGAGAGAGAGCAAUGGAAUUCCACAUGUAGCGGUGGAAUGCAUAGAUAUGUGGAGGAACACCAAUGGCGAAGGCAGUUGCUUGGCUCGAUACUGACACUCAGGGACGAAAGCGUGGGGAGCAAACAGGAUUAGAUACCCUGGUAGUCCACGCCGUAAACGAUGCAGAUUAGAUGCUGGAAGAAUUCAGUGUCGUAGCUAACGCGUUAAAUCUGCCGCCUGUGAAGUACGCACGCAAGUGUGAAACACAAAGGAAUUGACGGGGACCCGCACAAGCGGUGGAUCAUGUGGUUUAAUUCGAUGAUACGCGAAGAACCUUACCUAGGCUUGACAUCCUCAGCAAAACUAUAGAAAUAUAGCGGAGGUUAUCUGAGUGACAGGUGGUGCAUGGUUGUCGUCAGCUCGUGUCGUGAGAUGUUCGGUUAAGUCCGGCAACGAGCGCAACCCUUGCCUUUAGUUACCAUCAUUAAGUUGGGGACUCUAGAGGGACUGCCUAGGAAACUAGGAGGAAGGUGGGGAUGACGUCAAAUCAUCAUGCCCCUUAUGCCUAGGGCUACACACGUGAUACAAUGGCCAAUACAAAGGGUUGCCAACCUGUGAAGGGGAGCUAAUCUCAAAAAGUUGGUCUCAGUUCGGAUUGAAGUCUGCAAUUUGACUUCAUGAAGUUGGAAUCGCUAGUAAUCGCAAAUCAGCCAUGUUGCGGUGAAUACGUUCUCGGGUCUUGUACACACCGCCCGUCAAACCACGAAAAUUGGCAAUGCCCAAAACCAGUGUCCUAACUUUAUUGAAGGAGCUGUCUAAGGCAGGGUUAGUAAUUGGGGUUAAGUCGUAACAAGGUAUCCCUACGGGAACGUGGGGAUGGAUCACCUCCUUU